ensembl:rRNA 5S_rRNA 5S ribosomal RNA
GCCAGCAGCCAUAUCACCCUGCAGCUCUCAACUGGCUACCCACUGAAGCUAAGCAGGGUUGAGCCUGGCCAGUACCUGGAUGGGAGACCUCCUGGGAAGCUAUGGUUGCUGCUGGAC